UACGGAGGGUGCGAGCGUUGUCCGGAAUCAUUGGGCGUAAAGGGCGCGUAGGCGGGAUGGCAAGUCGGUCGUGAAAUCCUUCGGCUCAACCGAAGAACGUCGGCCGAUACUGCCGUUCUUGAGGGAUGCAGAGGAGAUUGGAAUUCCCGGUGUAGCGGUGAAAUGUGUAGAGAUCGGGAGGAACACCGGUGGCGAAGGCGGGUCUCUGGGCAUUUCCUGACGCUGAGGCGCGAAAGCGCGGGGAGCAAACAGG
rnacentral:rRNA from 1 species